UACCUGUGUGACUGCGUACCUUUUGUAUAAUGGGUCAGCGACUUAUAUUCUGUAGCAAGGUUAACCGUAUAGGGGAGCCGAAGGGAAACCGAGUCUUAACCGGGCGUUAAGUUGCAGGGUAUAGACCCGAAACCCGGUGAUCUAGCCAUGGGCAGGUUGAAGGUUGGGUAACACUAACUGGAGGACCGAACCGACUAAUGUUGAAAAAUUAGCGGAUGACCUGUGGCUGGGGGUGAAAGGCCAAUCAAACCGGGAGAUAGCUGGUUCUCCCCGAAAGCUAUUUAGGUAGCGCCUCGUGAAUUCAUCUCCGGGGGUAGAGCACUGUUUCGGCUAGGGGGCCAUCCCGGCUUACCAACCCGAUGCAAACUGCGAAUACCGGAGAAUGUUAUCACGGGAGACACACGGCGGGUGCUAACGUCCGUCGUGAAGAGGGAAACAACCCAGACCGCCAGCUAAGGUCCCAAAGUCAUGGUUAAGUGGGAAACGAUGUGGGAAGGCCCAGACAGCCAGGAUGUUGGCUUAGAAGCAGCCAUCAUUUAAAGAAAGCGUAAUAGCUCACUGGUCGAGUCGGCCUGCGCGGAAGAUGUAACGGGGCUAAACCAU
rnacentral:rRNA from 1 species